rnacentral:misc_RNA from 1 species
GUGAAUCAUCGAAUUUUUGAACGCAAAUUGCACUCCCUGCUGAGAGUAUGCCUGUUUCAGGGUCAGCCUAAAAAAAAUCUACAUAGUCGCUGUUUCGCGGUGACAUUCGUCGGUAAUUGGGUCAUCUUACACUUGUGGGGUUGAAGCGGCUUAAAAUUUUCUUUACGAUUCCACGAACGAUUCUU